GCCGGCCGCGGGGAGGGCCCUGGCACGGUGAAUGUGAUCCGUAAUCAAAUCAUUUAACUACUUUAAUUGACUAACCCAGUAGUAAACCAAGUGACAGUCGCAACUCCAGGCCGGCAUCUAUUUCCCAUGUCAUCACAUGCACUGCAAAAGCCAUUUUGUAAUGUAUGCAGUUUCUCAAAGGCUGUUACAGCCUACCAACAUUAACAGCCUCAGGAAGCCCUUAUUUUGGCCCUGUAACAGUCAGAAUUGUGAUUCUGCUCCAGUGUAAGAAUAUACCUUCACACUGUAACGACCUGCAGCCUUUGGGGCUGCUUCUGAGAUGGAGGAAUACAGUCCCUGCAAGCAUGGGCUGUGGAUUGCUCAUGGGGCAGACAGCAAAGGAGAGAGCAAAUGGAUAUUUAGGAAAUUAGCAUCACUACAGAAGGAAGAAUAUAACUGUUGCUUCUGUGCAUCUCUAGGAAAAGGCAAACCAGUAACUGCCAGUUAACCGUUUCUUUCUCAACUUGGGUUAGGAACUUCCUCAUUUGAAAUAAGAAAUGUACGUAAUCCUCUUGCAUUUACUGUAAAAGUAAAGCUUUCACUAAUAAGGCUAAGCAAUGUAUCUCACUUUCAGCUUUAUCAAAGUAUUGUUGUUUACAUUUGAGGCAGAUAGAACGUAAUUUUUCACAACACCAAGCACCAUAGGGAAGUUUAUAUGUUCAAAGCACAGUUCUUUAUAACUCAAGAUAAAUGUCUUCUUGCUUGCUGUUUUCAUUCUUGGGAAUGUCUUGUUUGUCAUAAGCUGAAAAUGGUUUAAUUCAACUGAUCCUCAAAAUAAAAAAGUAAACCCAGAGUGUUGAGACUUGGCAAGGAAUGAGCCACUGGAAGCAAAACUGAGAAGCCUUGAACUGGAAAAAAUAAAAAAAACUGCUGGACAAAGUGUUGUCAAAUGCAGGCACUCAGAAAUCACCUAAAGCUGCAAAUUUUUAAGGACAGAGGCUUUAAGAAAAGCACCAGUCAUUGUGAAAACUGUCGACGCUGGGGUUGUGAUCUAGAGCCCCAACAGGAUGUGCGUAGAUCGUGUAGAAGACGACUGAUGCAUCUCUCAGAAUAGCUGUUGUGAAGAAUAGACAAGUCAGUAUUCAUGUACAGCUGUGUAUUGAAACCCAUUUUUGACGUUUUGGAAAAGCUUUCAGUAUGAAAUUAAAAGAUUUGCAAACCAUAA